CCCCCGUCCCCGCCCCCGUGCCUUUCUGAACUCCCAGGUUGACAGCUCGCCUAAACCAAAGUACCUUUCUUCUCCAACUGCUCUUCCUUAAGCACUUGGGAGAAAUUGCCAACCAUGAGCGUUGCAGUCUGAGCCUGCCUUAGAGUUUCUGUUGUCCUGUGAGGACAGUUAAAACUUGGAACUUUCCCGACCACCACUCAGAGUAAACCGUACAAGCACAUAGGUACCUAAAUGCAUAAAUAAUUGAAACAAAAGCACUUACAGAGUCUUCUCUUGUAUUUCUUUUAAAAACAUGGUGGUGGUGACCCUAAACUGGUUGACAAACCCAUUAAUAAUGCCUUGUGACUGGCAGUUUGAAAACCACCGAUUAAAAGGAAGUAUCAGUUAAGGAAGAAAAUGAGCUGGCAGAUGAAUUCAGAGCAAAGGGACUCUAAUUUUAAAAAGUGUUUUAACCCAGAACUGCUCAUGUAUAGAUAAUUUGGAUUUAAGAGCAUAGUUAUCCUAGUUUAACAUAAUAACAUAUACAUUAUUAAACAUAUUUAGGAAAAUUUAAAAGUUUUUAAAUAUGGAGGUGUAGAGAUCACACUCUGCGUUCAAGGUUAAUGUGAAGCAUAGAAUUUAGAACCUUUUAAAUGCUAAAUCCUUCUGAAGCGGUAAUUCUUAGAUUUCAAAUGAAGAGUCUGUCCACCAAGGGGAGAAAAACCACAACACUGCAUAUGAUUGCAGUGUGGAUAGAUGACCACCUUAUGCUGGCUGUCAGUUGUGUAAAGCAAGAUUAAACAAGGUAUAAAAUAACUGAGAACCCAGAGGUGGGUUUGGGGUAGAGAAAGAUGCGGAGUCUAGUAUGCAUCAAAUAUCUGUUGAGGGUUUGCUUAGCCCUUUAUUUUUAAUUUAUAUUCAAGUUAGUUAAUGUACAGUGUAGUAUUGGUUUCUGGAAUAGAACCCAGUGAUUCAUCACUUACCUAUAAAACCCAGUGCUCAUCCCGACAAGUGCCCUCCUCUUAAUCCCCAUCACCCAUUUAGCCCAUCCUCCCACCCACCUCCCCUCCAGCAACCCUCAGGUUGUUCUCUGUAUUUAAGAGUCUCUUAGGGUUUGCCUCCCUCUUCUCUGUUUUUAUCUUAUUUUUCCUUCCCUUCCCCUGCGUUUAUCUGUUUUGUUUCUUAAAUUCCACAUGUGAGUGAAAUCAUAUGAUUUGUCUUUCUCUGACUACUUUCGCUUAGUGUAAUACCAUCUAGUUCCAUCCACAUUGCAAAUGGCGAGAUUUCAUUCUUUUUGAUCACUGAGUAAUAUUCCAGUGUGUGUGUGUGUGUGUGUGUGUGUGUGUGUGUGUGUGUACGUAUAUACAUGUACGUGUGUGUGUGUGUGUGUGUGUGUGUGUAUAGAACACAUUUUUUUUCCAUUCACCAGUCAAUGGACAUUUGAGCUCUUUCCAUAUUUUGGUUAUUUUAUUUAUUUAAGUUUAUUUUGAGAGAGACAGUGUGAGUGGGGGAGGGGAAGAGAGAGGGAGAGAGAGAGGGAGAGAAUCUCCAGCAGGCUCUGCACCUCAGCAUGGAGCCUGACUUGGGGCUUGAACGCAGGAAAGUAGGAUCAUGAACUGAGCUGAAACCAAGAGUCAGAUGCUUCACUGAGCCACCCAGGUGCCCCUUGGCUAUUGCUGAUAGCACUGCUCUAAACAUUGGGGUGCAUGUGCCCCUUCAAAUUAGCAUUUUUGUAUCCCUUGGAUAAAUUCCUAGUAGUGCAGUUGCUGGGUUGUAGGGUAGGUGUAUUUUUAACUUCUUGAGGAACCUCCAUACAGCUUUCCAGAGAGGCUGCACCAGUUUGCAUUCCCACCAAUAGUGCAAAAGGGUUCCCCUUUCUCCACAUCCCCACCAACAUCUGUUGUUUCCUCGAUCGUUAAUUUUAGCCAUUGUGACAGGUGUGAGGUGGUAUCUCAGUGUGGUUUUGAUUUGUAUUUCCCUGAUGAGGAGUGACAUUGAGCAUCUUUUCAUGUGCCUGUUGGCCAUCUGGAUGUCUUCUUUGGAAAAGUGUCUGUUCAUAUCUUCUGUCCCUUUCUUCACUGGAUUAUUUGUUUUUUGGGUGUUGAGUUUGAUAAGUUCUUGAUAGAUUUUGGAUACUAACCCUUUAACUGAUAUGUCAUUUGCAAAUAUCUUCUCCCAGUCCGUUGGUUGCCUUUUAGUUUUAUUGAUUGUUUCCGUUGCUGCUCAGCCCUUUAAAGAUUAUUUCCCUAGGCUCAGGUAAGGCUAGAUUGCAUUUCUUUUAAUGUAAAAUUUUAAGCAAAGUAUAACACAGAGAAAAAGGUACAAAUCAAGAGAGUACCAUAUCAUGGUAAGUCUUUCAAUGUGAGCAUCUCCCAAAGUAAUUAGCACCUAAGUCAGGAAAGAUUAUGUUAUUAACACCCCAGAAAUCUCAUGCCCCCGUCUAGUCCUACCAUGGUCCUAGCGUCUAACGUCAUUACAGCAAAACAAAACAAAACCUCUACUGUUACAUAAUAUACAUACCUUAAAAUUUAAAGUAUAUGGUGGAUUUAGAAUGUUCAGAGAUACGGGGCCAUCACUAAUCUAAGUUCAGAACAUUCCGUCACCCCCAGAAGAAACUCUAUACCCAUUAGCAGUCAUUCCCCACAUUGAUUAGUUUUGCCUGUUUGUUAAUUUGCUCAUCUAUAAAUGGACUCAGUAUAUUUGACUUACUUUAUGUUUGAUUUCUCUCUCUCUUUUUUUUUUUUUUUUUUUUAAAUAUUUGAGAGACGCAGCAUGUGUGUGAGCUGAGGAGGGGAAGAGAGAGAGGGUGAGAGAGGAUCCCAAGCAGUCUCUGUGAUGUCAGUGUUCAAUCUGAUGUGGGGCUUGAUCCCACAGACCGUGAGAUCAGGACCUGAGCUGAAAUCAAAAGAGUUUGAUGCUUGGGGCGCCGGGGUGGCUCAGUGGGUUAAGUGUCCAACUUUUACUUCGGUCAUGAUUUUGUGGUUCGUGGGUUCGAGCCCUGUGUCGGGUUCAGUGCUGACAGCUCAGAGCCUGGAGCCUGCUUUGGAUUCUGUGUCUCCCUCUCUCGUGUGCGCACUCUCUCUCUCUCUCAAAAAUAAAUUGAAAAAAGAGUUGGAUGCUUAACCAACUGAGCCACCCAGGUGCCCCUGUUUCUUACAGUUUCUAAUCCUCAUUCUCAUUGUGUAUGGUUCUGGUUUGUUCAUUCUCAUUGCUACAUCCCAUGAUUUAUCUAUUUUACUGUUGUUAGACAUUUGAGUUGGUUCUAAUUGUUGUAUGAAUGUUGGGUAUGCAUCUUUUGAUGAAUAUGGGUAUACACCACGGUGUGAAAUGUCUGGGACAUAUGUACAUACUCAGUUGUACAGGAUACUGUCAAGGAAUUUUCCAAAGGACUUGUACCCUUGACACUCCCACGAGCAGGAUUUGAAAGUUCCAGGUCCUCCACAUCCUGGCUACACAUGAUAUAUCCUGUCCUGCUUGUUUUAGCCCUUCUGGUGGAUUAAAAUGGUAUUGUAUUGUGGCUUUAAUUUGCAUUUCCCUGAUGACAGAUAAAGCUGAGCAUCAUUUUUACGUGCUUACUGGCCAUUUGGAUAUUCUCUUUUGUGAAGUUUUCUUUCCAGAUUUUACUUUUGUCCAUUUCUUCUAUUGAAUUGCCUGCCUUUUUCUUACUGAUUUCCAUUUCUUUGUUCUGGCUAUGAAUCCUUUGUUAGAUAUAUGUAUUACAAAUACUUUUCCCACUCUGUGGCUUGCCUCUGUGCUAGGUUACUUUUUAUGCGAAGGGGAAAUAAUUUUAUAACUAGCUCAGAUGUUAACAUAAUCUUUGUUGGCUGUCUUUGCCAGAUUUUAUAUAAAUCAUAUGUGUCAGUCAUCUUGUAAUUUUUUCUCUUGAUGGAUGAUGUCAUCAUAUUGGUGUGCCUGAAGAGUAUAGGAUUUGAGAGAGAGGAAAUCUAGUGAGUUUUUGUAUUUUUGUUAAACUUUAGUUUUAUUAGAUUAUUAUUUAAGACUUGGCUAUUGUUCUUUUCCUUUGCUGUGCAAGUUAAGAUGCGUCUAUGUGUGGUGUAGACACUGCGGGUUGCUUAGCCUCUCAUUCUCCUCUCUCUGCUAAUAGAAGCUUCAUUUGUUGAGAGCUGCAGUGUGCAUAAUUAAAGCUACUUGCUGAUUUAUGACUCUUUGAAAUUAGGGUUGGUUAUGUGACAUGUUCUGCCAGUAGCCCAUGUAGGAGAGGUCUGUUGGGUGGGAAUUCCAGGAAAGCUGUUGCUUUUCUAAGAGAAAGAAACAGACUUAGCCGGCAGACAUCUUCUGCCCAUCCUGUAUUCCUUUCUGGAAAGUGCUCCUGAGUCUCAGAGGCUUUUCACUGUCCUGCAAUCAUGACGAUGAGAGAUAGGUGCUAAAAAUGGCAGAGUUGGUCGUGGGUGGUGUCGUGGGGUCAAUGUAUAAGCCUUGGGCUGCUUUCUUAGGUUGUCCAGAGAAAGACCGAUAGGAGAUGGAGAUCUAUUUAUAUUUACGCAGGCUGAAAAGUUCCAUGAUUGGCUGUCUGCAGCUAGAGACCUGGGAGAGCUGAUGGUAGAAAUUCCAGUCUGAGUCCAGAUGCUUGAGACCCUGGAAAGCCAAUGGUGUAAGUUCUAGUCUGACGAAAGGAGAAGACCAAUACCCUAGUUCAACAAGUGGGGCUGAGAGAGGGAGCAUGUGUGAGCGUGCUCCCCAUGCCUUCAACUGAUUGGACAAGGCCCACCCACACUGCGAGGAGCCAUCUGCUUUACUCAGUCCAGUGAUUCAGACAUUAAUCUCCUCCAGAAUAAUGUGGUUUUUUUUCCCCCAAGUUUAUUUAUUUUGAGAGACAGCGCGCGUGCUAGAGGGGCAGAGAGAGAGGGAGACAGAAUCCCAAGUUGAGUGUGGAGCCUGAGGAGGGGCUCAAAGUCACGAAACCAUGAGAUAAUGACCUGAGCUGAAACCAAGAGUCAGACACUUAACUGACUGAGCCACCCAGGUGCCUGCAUCCAGAAUAAUGUUGAACCAGACAUCUGGGCACCCUGUGUACCGGCCACGUUGACACAGUUAUGCAUCACAGCGGUCUUCCUUGUGGCCUCUUGUUUUAUGAGAGGAGUAUGGGGUAAUUUCCCGGUUUAGGGUGUUCCCACAUAUGUUGCUGAAUUCAGCCCCUAAGAAAUACAGACAUUACUCAGAUUUCUUGGCUUACAAAAUCAAGACUUGUGGCAGGUAUGUGAUGGUGCUCUAGGGGUGUGCCUGUCUGAGCUGCAGUAAGGUGAGGCUUUGCCACAUCCUGGUAAGACAGAAAUGCACCCGUGUUCCUGUGCGUGAGUCUGUGGAUAUGGGCCCGGGUCAUCUCAGCUGCAGAAAAGUCCUUAAUCCAACUGAUGUUAAAGGCAGUUCAGAGACCACCGGGUGCUGGAGACCCAGAGGAGUGCUUCUGGCCCAGAGGGACAAUUCUGUCACCCGGCUUAUUAGACAGAAGCAUCUAGCUCUUGUCUCUCUCUGGUGUUUAUCCCCAGGUCUUUGUUAGAGUAACAAACGGCUUUGAGAGGGAAAAGUCCUAAAUACUUGUUACUGAUGUGAAAGAUACUUGAGAAGGUACAGGCUUGUGACUUCGUUAUUUGGGGCAAAAUCAGCUUUGAUUCCCAUUAUGAGUCUGGGACUCACAUUAUGCCCACGUGGGCCUAAAAGGUACUUGUGGCUUUUUGUCCUUUAUCCAGUUUUUUAAUAAUUUUUUUUAAUGUUUAUUUUUGAGAGAGAGAGACAGAGCAUGAGCAGGGCCACCUAAUUGCUGAAGGAGGAAUGGUUCCGUUUGGCAGUUUUCCACACUUGGAGAACCAGCACUCGGAGAUCACUCGGAGAGAAUAGAAAUCUCUGCGGGCCAGGGAUUCCACACCUCUGGUUUGCUGCAGACGGGAGGUGAGAAGGAAUGAGCGGAUGGUCCUCCAGGGGUGAUUGCAAGACUUUUGGAUGAUCCCAAGAUUUUUGCCUGAGCCCUGGACGGUUGGAGUUGCCCGUGGCUGAGCCGAGGAAGGAGACGGUGGAGCAGGUUUGGAGGGGGAAGAUCAGAGCGUGAGCUCUGGCCAUGCUAGCAUGUUAGAUCAUCUCCAGGUGGAGACGUUGACAGGAAGAUGUCCAAGCUCGGGGACACGGCGAUAAACACAGGUGUCGUCAGCCCCUACACGACACUUAAAACCGUGAGAGCAGAGGCCAGCUACCGGAAGAGUGGGGGAUGGUGAAGGGGAGAGAACAGAGCCGCGACGGGCUGAUGCCGGGGCGCCAGGGAGAUGAAAACUACCGAGGAGGUUGGAAACAGGAGCCCCGACUGACUGUCGUGAGCAGGAAAACCCGGGAGGACGCCGUGUGCUGGCAUUCCAGAGAAGGAUGCGAGGGGACCCACUGUGUCGUGUAGCCGGUAAGUCAUGUAAGAUGAGAACAGAGAAUUAACCGUUGUAUUUGGCACUGUGGGAGCCGUCCUUGACCUCGACAGGAAUUAACCGCUGCAUUUGGGACUGUAGGGAGUCGUCCUUGACCUCGACAGGAGUGGUUUUGGUUGAGUGGGGGAAACAGAAGGUUGAUGGCAGCGGGUUUCAUAGAAAACGGAUGAAUGAAUGAAAGUCCAAA